rnacentral:rRNA from 1 species
AGCAGUAGCCGCGGUAAUACGUAGGGUGCGAGCGUUAAUCGGAAUUACUGGGCGUAAAGCGUGCGCAGGCGGUUAUAUAAGUCAGAUGUGAAAUCCCCGGGCUCAACCUGGGAACUGCAUUUGAGACUGUAUGGCUAGAGUGUGUCAGAGGGGGGUAGAAUUCCACGUGUAGCAGUGAAAUGCGUAGAUAUGUGGAGGAAUACCGAUGGCGAAGGCAGCCCCCUGGGAUAACACUGACGCUCAUGCACGAAAGCGUGGGGAGCAAACAGGAUUAGAUACCCGUGUAGUCCCUGUCUCUUAUAC